rnacentral:rRNA from 1 species
AUGGCAGGAGCCCCCAAAUCCACCCUCAUCAUCUUGCUCCUCCCCUUCCUGUUGCUCGGGGCUGCGGCCUCCGCCCUCCCCCUGCUCAACUCCUCGCUCCCGGACCCCGCCGCUGUCGUCGCCGACUUCCACAGCAAGGUGACGACGUCGCGGCGGCGGAUGCAGGAGACGGGCGGAGGCGGCGGGUGCAUGACUGGCAACCCGAUCGACGACUGCUGGCGGUGCGCCGGGACAGACUGGUGGAAGGACCGGCAGCGGCUGGCGGACUGCGGCAUCGGGUUCGGGCGCAACGCGCUGGGCGGCAAGGGCGGUCCGUUCUACGUGGUGACCGACUCCUCGGACCGCGACCCCGUGAACCCGGCGCCCGGUACGCUCCGGCACGCCGCCAUCCAGGAGGGCCCCCUGUGGAUCGUGUUCGCCGCGGACAUGACCAUCCGCCUCAACGAGGAGCUGCUGGUGAACAGCUACAAGACCAUCGACGGGCGCGGCGCGAACGUGCACGUGGCCGGCGGCGCGUGCAUCACGCUGCAGUACGUGUCCAACGUGAUCAUCCACAACCUGCACGUGCACGACUGCGUGCCGGCGGGGAACGCGAACGUGCGGUCGUCGCCGACGCACUACGGGUGGCGGACGCGGUCGGACGGCGACGGCAUCUCGCUCUUCUCGGCGCGGGACGUGUGGGUGGACCACUGCGCGCUGUCGCGGUGCGCGGACGGGCUGGUGGACGCCAUCAUGGGGUCGACGGGCAUCACCGUGUCCAACAGCUACUUCUCCCACCACGACGAGGUGAUGCUGCUGGGGCACAGCGACGGGUACCUCCCGGACUCGGGGAUGCAGGUGACCAUCGCGUUCAACCACUUCGGCGUGCAGCUGGUGCAGCGGAUGCCGCGCUGCCGCCGGGGAUACUUCCACAUCGUCAACAACGACUACACGGCGUGGGAGAUGUACGCCAUCGGCGGCAGCGCCAGCCCCACCAUCAACAGCCAGGGCAACCGCUACAUCGCCCCCGCAAACCCCAACGCCAAGGAGGUGACGAAGCGCGUGGACACGGAGGAGGGGCAGUGGAACGGGUGGAACUGGCGGACGGAGGGGGACAUGAUGGUGAACGGCGCCUUCUUCGUGCCCUCCGGGGAAGGGAUGGAGAACAUCUACGACAAGGCCUCCAGCGGCGUCGACCCCAAGUCGUCGGCGCUCGUCGACCAGCUCACCAUCGGCGCCGGCGUCCUCGGCGGGCCAAGGGACAAUGGCGAAGCCUCCGCGUACGUCGGGUUCAACUACGCCGGAUCGGCGACCGGCGGUGGCGGCGGCGGAAGCGGAGGCAACGGGUAUGGUAGCCUUGGGAUGGUCUAUGCCAACAGCGGCGAUCGGGGCUGCCGGUCUCACUUGAUACUAUCCCUGACUACUUUGGUUCUUGCUCUAAUAUGUUGUGUAAGACUGGAUUGA